UACGUAGGGUGCGAGCGUUAAUCGGAAUUACUGGGCGUAAAGCGUGCGCAGGCGGUUUUGUAAGUCUGUCGUGAAAUCCCCGGGCUUAACCUGGGAAUUGCGAUGGAGACUGCAAGGCUAGAAUCUGGCAGAGGGGGGUAGAAUUCCACGUGUGAGCAGUGAAAUGCGUAGAGAGUGUGGAGGAACACCGAUGGCGAAGGCAGCCCCCUGGGCUGAACACCUGGACGCUCAGGCACGAAAGCGUGGGGAGCAAACGAGG
rnacentral:rRNA from 1 species